AUUUCGGAAUUAAUGUCAAAAUUAUCCGUCUUUGGAAAAAGUAUAUCGCAGCUGAUCGAUAUACUAUUGAGUUGGUGCUAUGCGAUUCCUUUGGAGAUAAGAUUCAUGCUUCUAUUAGUAGUUCUUUGGUAGCACCAUAUGAGCCAAG